UUACUAUAGUCUUAAUGGUUAUGACUAUAGUCUUAAUGGUCUCUCAUUAAGACUAUAGUCAUGACCAUAAGACUAUAGUCAUGACCAUUAAGACUG